rnacentral:rRNA from 1 species
AGCAUAUCAAUAAGCGGAGGAAAAGAAACCAACAGGGAUUGCCCUAGUAACGGCGAGUGAAGCGGCAACAGCUCAAAUUUGAAAUCUGGCUUCGGCCCGAGUUGUAAUUUGCAGAGGAAGCUUUAGGCGCGGCACCUCCUGAGUCCCCUGGAACGGGGCGCCACAGAGGGUGAGAGCCCCGUAUAGUUGGAUGCCUAGCCUGUGUAAAGCUCCUUCGACGAGUCGAGUAGUUUGGGAAUGCUGCUCAAAAUGGGAGGUAAAUUUCUUCUAAAGCUAAAUACCGGCCAGAGACCGAUAGCGCACAAGUAGAGUGAUCGAAAGAUGAAAAGCACUUUGAAAAGAGGGUUAAAUAGCACGUGAAAUUGUUGAAAGGGAAGCGCUUGUGACCAGACUUGCGCCGGGCUGAUCAUCCGGUGUUCUCACCGGUGCACUCUGCCCGGCUCAGGCCAGCAUCGGUUCUCGCGGGGGGAUAAAGGCCCUGGGAACGUAGCUCCUCCGGGAGUGUUAUAGCCCGGGGCGCAAUGCCCUCGCGGGGACCGAGGUUCGCGCUCUGCAAGGAUGCUGGCGUAAUGGUCAUCAGCGACCCGUCUUGAAACACGGACCAAGGAGUCAAGGUUUUGCGCGAGUGUUUGGGUGUAAAACCCGCACGCGUAAUGAAAGUGAACGUAGGUGAGAGCUUCGGCGCAUCAUCGACCGAUCCUGAUGUUCUCGGAUGGAUUUGAGUAGGAGCGUUAAGCCUUGGACCCGAAAGAUGGUGAACUAUGCUUGGAUAGGGUGAAGCCAGAGGAAACUCUGGUGGAGGCUCGCAGCGGUUCUGACGUGCAAAUCGAUCGUCAAAUCUGAGCAUGGGGGGCGAAAGACUAAUCGAACCAUCUAGUAGCUGGUUACCGCCGAG